CAAGGAGCAGAAAUAGGAAAAAAAACCCAAAUAAAAACCAAAAAUUCAAAUUUGGGAACCCAAAAAAACCCAAAAUCUGAAUUGGGGACCCCAAAAAUCCCCAAAAUCUGAAUUGGGGACCCCAAAAUUCACAUUGGGGACCCCAAAAAAACCCCAAAAUCCGAACCCCUGGAGCUCUACUGCGCUGCCAGCAAGGAGCAGAAAUAGGAAAAAAACCCCAAAAAGUCAAAUUUGGGACCCCAAA
rnacentral:lncRNA from 12 species